rnacentral:lncRNA from 1 species
GAGGCCCUGAGAGCCCAUGAGGAGGUUGUGAGAACUCAAUGCAACCUCAAACGCUGAACGCUUUCUUGGUGAUCAGAAUUACAAUGUCCAAAUCAAGGGCCCCAUCUAUCCUUCAAAACCCUACUUCUUCUUCUUCUUCAUCAAAACCUAGAUAAUGUCGUCUAGGUUUUGGGGGAGGAGGGGGAAUUGAAAGAGAAAUGAAAAUUUGGGAGACAAUUAAAAUUACUCAAAAUAAACUUGAUUGUCCGGGUGUGAGACUGCUGAUUGUCCUGGCAGCAGUGAAUUGAAACCCUG